rnacentral:rRNA from 1 species
UGGUCCUACGGGAGGCAGCAGUGGGGAAUAUUGCACAAUGGGGGAAACCCUGAUGCAGCGACGCCGCGUGGGUGAAGAAGUAUUUCGGUACGUAAAGCUCUAUCAGCAGGGAAGAAAUAAAGUCCUUCGGACUCUGGACGGUACCUGACUAAGAAGCCCCGGCUAACUACGUGCCAGCAGCCGCGGUAAUACGUAGGGGGCAAGCGUUAUCCGGAUUUACUGGGUGUAAAGGGAGCGUAGACGGCAGCGCAAGUCUGGAGUGAAAUCCCAUGUCUUAACCAUGGAACUACUUUGGAAACUG